GACGAACGCUGGCGGCGUGCUUAACACAUGCAAGUCGAACGGAAAGGCCCUGCUUUUGCGGGGUGCUCGAGUGGCGAACGGGUGAGUAACACGUGAGUAACCUGCCCUUGACUUUGGGGUAACUUCAGGAAACUGGGGCUAAUACCGGAUAGGAGCUCCUGCUGCAUGGGGGGGGUUGGAAAGCUUCGGCGGUUGGGGAUGGACUCGCGGCUUAUGAGCUUGUUGGUGGGGUAGUGGCUUACCAAGGCUUUGACGGGUAGCCGGCCUGAGAGGGUGACCGGCCACAUUGGGACUGAGAUACGGCGCAGACUCCUACGGGGGGCAGCAGUGGGGAAUAUUGCACAAUGGGCGGAAGUCUGAUGCGGCGACGCCGGGUGCGGGAUGACGGCCUUCGGGUUGUAAACCGCUUUCGCCUGUGACGAAGCGGGAGUGACGGUAAUGGGAAAAGAAGCACCGGCUAACUACGUG
rnacentral:rRNA from 1 species